AUGCUUCAGAAGGUGACCGUGCAAAUCUGA
rnacentral:piRNA from 1 species